UGAGUCGGCCGGGUGAUCGCGGCCCCCGAACCAGCCGUCCACGGCGAAGGCGGGUGUCGAGGAAAGUCCGGACUCCACAGAGCACGGUGGUUGCUAACGGCAACCCGGGGUGACCCGCGGGCACGUGCAACAGAAAGUAGACCGCCCGGUUUCGGCCGGGUAAGGGUGAAAGGGUGCGGUAAGAGCGCACCGGCGGGCCAGGUGACUGGUCCGGACAGGUAAACCCCACCGGGAGCAAGGCAUUACGGCCUGUUCACAGAGCAGGCCGGUUCGGAUGAUUGAGGGCUGCUCGCCCGAGUCCGAAGGUAGCUGCUUGAGGCGGUCAGCGAUGGCCGACCCAGAUGGAUGUUCACCGCCCCUCACGGGGUACAGAAUCCGGCUUACAGGCCGGCUCAUUCG
rnacentral:RNase_P_RNA from 2 species